CAGCCCCUCGAGUGGUGGGGAUGAUUAUUUGGCCUAAAGCGUCCGUAGCCGGCCAAGCAAGUCUUCCGUUAAAUCCAGCGUCUCAAGCGUUGGACUGCGGGAGAUACUACACGGCUAGAGAGUGGGAGAGGUUAGCGGUAUUCUGGGGGUAGGGGCGAAAUCCUUUGAUCCCCGGAGGACCACCAGUGGCGAAGGCUGCUAACUUGAACACGUCUGACGGUCAGGGACGAAAGCUGGGGUAGCGAACCGGAUUAGAUACCCGAGUAGUCC
rnacentral:rRNA from 1 species